rnacentral:rRNA from 1 species
GACAGAGGAUGCAAGCGUUAUCCGGAUUUACUGGGUUUAAAGGGUGUGUAGGCGGGUCUUUAAGUCAGUGGUGAAAUCUCCGAGCUCAACUUGGAAACUGCCAUUGAUACUAUUGAUCUUGAAUUUUGUUGAGGUAGGCGGAAUAAGUCAUGUAGCGGUGAAAUGCAUAGAUAUGACUUAGAACACCAAUUGCGAAGGCAGCUUACUAAGCAAAUAUUGACGCUGAGGCACGAAAGCGUGGGGAUCAAACAGG